GACGAACGCUGGCGGCGUGCCUAAUACAUGCAAGUCGAACGCAGUGGGGACGGGUGAGUAACACGUGGGUAACCUCCCAUCAGAGGGGAUAACACUUGGAAACAGGUGCUAAACCGAUAUUGCUGGAUGGACCCGCGGUGCAUUAGCUAGUGGGUGAGGUAACGGCUCACCAAGGCGACGAUCAGUAGCUGGCUUGAGAGGUGGCUCAGCCACCCUGGGACUGAGACACGGCCCAGACUCCUACGGGAGGCAGCAGUGGGGAAUUUUGGACAAUGGGCGAAAGCCGGACCGAGCCAUCCCGCGUGGAUGAAGAAGGCCUUCGGGUUGUAAAGCACUUUUAGCAGGGAAGCGGUACCUGCCCAAAAAGCCCCGGCUAACUACGUGCCAGCAGCCGCGGUAAUAC
rnacentral:rRNA from 1 species